rnacentral:rRNA from 1 species
AACGAACGCUGGCGGCAUGCCUAAUACAUGCAAGUCGAACGAGAUCUUCGGAUCUAGUGGCGCACGGUUGCGUAACGCGAGGGAAUCUGCCCCAGUGUUCGGAAUAGCAGCGUGAAACUCCUCCUAAUACCGGAUGCUGUCGUAAGUCCACGGAUUUAUCGACCAGGGAUUAGCCCGCGUAGGAGUAGGUAGUUGGUGGGGUAAAGGCAUACCAAGCCUACGAACUUUAGCGGGCAUGAGAAGAUGAUCAGCCACACUGGUACUGAGACACGGCGCAGACUCCAACGGGAGGCAGCAGUAGGGAAUAUUGGACAAUGGGGGCAACCCUGAUCCAGCAAUGCCGCGUGAGUGAUGAAGGCCUUAGGGUUGUAAAGCUCUUUUACCCGGGAUGAUAAUGACAGUACCGGGAGAAUAAGCCCCGGCUAACUCCGUGCCAGCAGCCGCCGUAA